rnacentral:rRNA from 1 species
UACGAAGGGGGCUAGCGUUGCUCGGAAUGACUGGGCGUAAAGGGCGCGUAGGCGGUUUGGACAGUCGGAUGUGAAAUUCCUGGGCUCAACCUGGGGGCUGCAUCCGAGACGUUGGACUGGAGUGGGGAAGAGGGUCGUGGAAUUCCCAGUGUAGAGGUGAAAUUCGUAGAUAUUGGGAAGAACACCGGGUGGCGAAGGCGGCGACCUGGUCCUUGACUGACGCUGAGGCGCGAAAGCGUGGGGAGCAAACAGG